rnacentral:rRNA from 1 species
UACGUAGGUGGCAAGCGUUGUCCGGAAUUAUUGGGCGUAAAGCGCGCGCAGGCGGCCUCUUAAGUCUGAUGUGAAAGCCCCCGGCUCAACCGGGGAGGGCCAUUGGAAACUGGGAGGCUUGAGUAUAGGAGAGAAGAGUGGAAUUCCACGUGUAGCGGUGAAAUGCGUAGAGAUGUGGAGGAACACCAGUGGCGAAGGCGACUCUUUGGCCUAUAACUGACGCUGAGGCGACGAAGCGUGGGAGCAAACAGG